rnacentral:rRNA from 1 species
UACAGAGGGGGCAAGCGUUGUUCGGAAUUACUGGGCGUAAAGGGCGCGUAGGCGGCCUGUUAAGUCGAACGUGAAAUCCCUGGGCUCAACCCAGGAACUGCGUCCGAUACUGGCAGGCUUGAAUUCGGGAGAGGGAUGUGGAAUUCCAGGUGUAGCGGUGAAAUGCGUAGAUAUCGGGAGGAACACCGGUGGCGAAGGCGGCGACCUGGGUAGAUACUGACGCUGAGGUGCGAAAGCGUGGGGAGCAAACAGG